ensembl:lncRNA
CUGAAGAAUGCUUCCUAACAGAGGACAGAAGAUGAAUUUUGGAGCCUGACAGUCUCAAACCCUGGCUGUGUGACCUUUGGCAAGUCACUUCUCUGAGCUCCAGUUUCCUUAUCUGUAAAAUGGGGAUGUUGGCCCUCACUGCACAGGGAUUAAAAGAGAUAAACAUGCAGGAUGCCAAUCAAGGAAGGGCUGAGUUCAGCAGAGAGACCCAAGCAGGAAAGGACACAUUUCUUUGCUUCCUCUUAGAACAAGUACCUUUAGCUUCUAGGACCUAAAAAACCAUAAACCAAACAACAUAUUCGAUUGGGCCUUCUAGCUGUUGCGAGUGACUCAGUAGUGAAAUGGGGUAGAGCCCAUCCUCCAAACAGCUCCCCAGGCCUCUGCCAACCAGAGGAAGAUGUGUCAUUCCUGUUCCAGAGAGUACGAAGGGCUCAAGCCAAAGCCUUCCGCCAAGGUCCUCAGAAAGGUGGUUCCUGGACUGACCUCUGCCGGCCCAUAAGCUCCACAGUUUCACUGUUCCGCCUGGGCUGCGGGCUGCGGGGCUGGUUGGUGGAGUUGGCUUAGAGAAGGGUAUUUUGUAUUUGGCUUUUGGAAUGACUAAUGAAUGAGCUGUCUCCACUGCAGGAGAAUUAUGCCACUUAAGCAAAACCCAGCCGGGCUGGUCGGCUCAGAGAUAGCUAAUAGGAAAUGCCUGUCAGAACACUGACGCUUCAAAGCCAAAUAUAUUCUCACUGUGUUCUCUGUUUGCUAAGUUUACUUUAUGCAAAAUAUAACUCAGCUGAAAAUAUGUAGAUGGCAGAGAGCUCGCGCCUUCCCUCUGGAAGAAAGGGAGACAAGGAGGACGGUGAGGGCAGCUCCCAGUUAACCCUCCUGGUCCUGCCAGGCUGAGGAUGAGCCCUUGUUUGGCCAAAGAGCACAGACCUUGCCUUGCAAGAAAGUCUGUGCCACUAAUGGACCCAUAACCACCACAGUCCUCAAAAUAGAGGCAGCCCUCCCACACCGUGGGAACAGAGGGAGCGUGGGCAACAGACAGCACAAGUGGUCCAGCCAUUUUGUGAAGCUGCAGGGGCCAGCAAGGGCCUGGGGGGGUGCCUGUGGUUUUUGUCCUUUGGUGGUUUUACCUGCCCAUCCCCUCUCUCCACAGGUGAGACAAAGUCCUCUAAACCAAGAAGCAACGGAGAAGCAGAAGCAGCCAGAGCUACAGAUACUCCACAGGUAUAUAUCCUGUAAACACAUGUGAAAACUCUGGAUUCUACCUGCCUGGACUGGCUCAGGAGCAGGUAAGUCAUGUCUGAUGGUGGAGGCCAGUAGUGGCUCUGGCUUGGAGGGACCCAAAAAGAGAGAACAAGGGAGGGGCUGGUGGCGGAAAGAGAUCUUUUUCAUUGACUCAGUUAAGUAAAUAAGCGCUAAUUGUGUACCUUCUGUGGGUUAAGGCCUAUAGACACCAAGGUGAACAAGGCAGUUGUGGUCUCCACGCCUCCCGAACGGAGCAUACCAGGGGAAGCAAUAACAAGGGAGCUUUAGGAAGAUUGUUCAGCAGCUACUUUUGAGAAAUGAGGUAUGGAGCCUGUGUGAGAGUGCUUGCCAGGGUCUAGGAGAGGGAAUGAAAGCCUUCGGACCAUCCUGGCAGAAAGAGCAUCAGACAGACCUGGCUCUGCCUCUGACCAGCUGCUUGGCUCUGGACAAGUUAGCCUUUUUUGGGUCUUCAGUUCUCUCCUCUGUAAGAUGAGAAGCAUGGUACCUGCCUCACAGGGUUUUGGGUGACUGUUAAAUUAGGUGAUGCAUAGAAAUCUUGGCUCUCAGUACCGGUCAAUAUGUGCGGGCUCUUAUUAAUAAGAACGUUAGCAACUAGGUGAAUCCAGGUGUCACACUGAAGGAAUAAAUGCCAAGACGCAGUGACUGAGUGUGGGAAA